GCAUGCUCGCUUCAGCCACACAUUUACUAAAACUGGAGCAAUAUAGAGAAGAUUAGCGUGACCUGUGCACAAUGAUGGCACGUAAAUGCAUAAAGUGUUCCAUAUUUGG